rnacentral:rRNA from 1 species
UACGUAGGUGGCAAGCGUUGUCCGGAAUCAUUGGGCGUAAAGAGCUCGUAGGCGGCUCAGUAAGUCGGGUGUGAAACCCUCAGGCUCAACCUGGGGACGCCACCCGAUACUGCUGUGGCUAGAGUCCAGUAGGGGAGUGUGGAAUUCCCGGUGUAGCGGUGAAAUGCGCAGAUAUCGGGAGGAACACCAGCGGCGAAGGCGGCACUCUGGGCUGGUACUGACGCUGAGGAGCGAAAGCGUGGGUAGCAAACAGG